UACGUAGGGAGCGAGCGUUGUCCGGAUUUAUUGGGCGUAAAGAGCUCGUAGGCGGUUCGGUAAGUCAGGUGUGAAAACCUCAGGCUCAACCUGGGGACGCCACCUGAUACUGCCGUGACUUGAGUCUGGUAGGGGAGCACGGAAUUCCUGGUGUAGCGGUGAAAUGCACAGAUAUCAGGAGGAACACCGGUGGCGAAGGCGGUGCUCUGGGCCAGUACUGACGCUGAGGAGCGAAAGCGUGGGGAGCGAACAGG
rnacentral:rRNA from 1 species